rnacentral:tRNA from 1 species
UAGAUGGAUGCUUUCUGGUUUAAGCGCUUAACUGUUAAUUAAGAGUUUGUAGGAUCGAGGCCUGCUCAUCUAG